GCACUUCCCUCGGAUAACAGAAUUAUAUACCACCACCACAAAUACACCAGGUGGAGGGAAGCAAAGAGAAGGGAGAAACAGAGGUGUGUUCAGAAGGUUGAUCAAACAAACCUAAACGCCAAGCUAUUGCAUUUCUCUCUGGUGUGGCGAGCCGAGCAGAUCGCUGGGAGAGAAAUCGGAAAAGGGGGGAGAGGAAAAGGAAAAGGGGACUUGGAGAGAGACUUUGUGCUUCAAUGUUUCAGGUAAGAUCUGACGGUUUGGGUUUGUUAUUAUUUGCUAAGGAG
rnacentral:lncRNA from 1 species